GGGUCCAAACCAAAGGUCCAUAUAUGACGAGUUAGGAGUGAGAAAGUGUUGGUUCACCAGGUGCUUCCCCACAAACCCAAACCCUGGGCCUGGCUAAACCAUAGACCAGGUGACAUCAGUCGAGGUGAUGUAGCAGAUGUAUUUAAGUUAAUUUCCAUAUUAGAUUUUCAAUUCAAAUAACCUUUAUUUAUAAAUAAAAAAAUAGCUUAACAGACUGAUUAUAAUCUGUUCACUUACCAAUAUAGGCUACAGAUCCAGAAAUCCCACCGACUGAGCAUUUGAUGAGUAACUGUUAUUAUUAUUCUGUCAACCCACUGCAACUAAAGCAGUCUCAUGAGAAAUAUUAUUAGAGAACAAGUUCCUCGUGCCAGUCACAAACAAAGGCUACAUUACUGUAGAUCUAUGUGACACACAACUUUGCUCUUUGGUGAAAUAGCCAAACAUUUUGAAAGAGGUUCAAGACUUAGCCAUGUUACAAAAGUCCACCAAUUUUACUGUUAACACCCAACCAAUUAUUUUUAGUACUGACUGCUCAGGGCUACAGGGUUAUUGUCCCAUGAAAUAGAAUAUUGCUGCACAGUUUUAAUAAUAAAAAAGAAAAAUCCUAUUAAUAUGAUAAGUAUUUGAGUGGGAAAAAAGCAGCAGUGUUAAAAGUCUUUAGGAGAAAAUCAACUCCUACUUUCUGAACCAUAUACUCUAUGAAGCUGUUGCUCUCACAGCUGACUGUGAAACAGCGAGCUCUUGAAAAUCUGAAGGAAAAUAAAAAAGCUAAAGUAAUAAUUGAGUUAAGUACUUCAAAACCUAUUGAUCUCAAACAGACUGAAUAACUCAACUGCUCAAUAAUAAAUAGACGUACUCCUUUAAUAAAAUGUUUGAUCUCUCACCAGAAUGACUAUAUCAUUUUAGACAGACCGAAAAGGCACACAAGCAAUUUAUAAAUUUAAACUUUUUUGUCUCCACAUUUUUUUGCAAGUUCGACCAAAGUCCAUUUCUCUCAAAAAAGCUAAAUAAUUAAAUCCCUGGUUCUGCCUGACUACUGAAUGGAGCGACAUCCCCCCCGGUCCCUGCAAGUCCUCGAUAAGAGCGAUGUGGAGUUCCAUGUCCUGCCCAAGAACACUUUGCCAGGUGGGCGGGCAAGGCGAAAGAUGCAAUCUUCUGAUUAGAAGACGACUCUACCUCCUCACCACAGCCGUCCUAUUCCACGUGGUUCAUCUGUGCUCCUUUCCUUGGGCGUGGACCUCACCUCUGGCUCGUCUCGGGCCCCCAGCUGUCCCCCUUGAAUUGAAUUGAAUAUUUGAGGCAGUAGAUACAUCUAUAAGUAGAUUUACCUAUAGAAAAAAUGUAAAAACCUAAUCCAGGAACAGUGGAAGAUGAAAUAAAAUCAGAGGGCAUGUGUGAUUUAAACAAAAGAAUAUAACAACUUUUUUGACCAUUCUUCAUCCAAGCAAUACAAAUGAGACUUCUGAAAUACUUUAUUUUGAGUAAAUGUGUUUUUUGUUUUUUUUAUUUUAUUUUUUUACUUCAAGAAAACACUUGUUAUUUUUUCAUUUUGGCACAUCUCUGACCUGGAAAGUUCUGAGCAGAUUUAUCCCACAAUGACCACAAAAUGAAAGUUUAUUUUUCUUCUAAUUUAACUUAAAUUAUAUGUUGUUCUUGUGGUUUUCAGCAUGAUCAGUUAUUUUAAAAAGUGAGAAAAAACUUUAAAGUGAUAUAAAAGAAGUUGAUAAAAAAAAGAAGAAACAUUCUAAGAAAAGACAUUCUAAGCACACAUGAUAA